rnacentral:rRNA from 1 species
GGCGAACGGGUGCGUAACACGUGAGAAACCUGCCCCGGUCUCUGGAAUAACAGUUGGAAACGACUGCUAAUACCGGAUGCCGUCGGACCAUCGCAUGGUGGACCGACGAAAGGGUUACCGGACCGGGAGGGUCUCGCGGCCUAUCAGCUUGUUGGUGAGGUAACGGCUCACCAAGGCAUCGACGGGUAGCUGGUCUGAGAGGAUGAUCAGCCACACUGGGACUGAGACACGGCCCAGACUCCUACGGGAGGCAGCAGUAGGGAAUAUUGCACAAUGGGCGAAAGCCUGAUGCAGCAACGCCGCGUGCGGGAAGAAGGCCUUAGGGUUGUAAACCGCUUUCAGCAGGGAAGAAAAUGACGGUACCUGCAGAAGAAGGUGCGGCCAACUACGUGCCAGCAGCCGCGGUGACACGUAGGCACCAAGCGUUGUCCGGAUUUAUUGGGCGUAAAGAGCUCGUAGGCGGUUCAGUUAGUCGGGUGUGAAAACUCUGGGCUCAACCCAGAGACGCCACUCGAUACUGCUGUGACUAGAGUGCGGUAGGGGAGCGGGGAAUUCCUAGUGUAGCGGUGAAAUGCGCAGAUAUUAGGAGGAACACCAGUGGCGAAGGCGCCGCUCUGGGCCGUAACUGACGCUGAGGAGCGAAAGCGUGGGUAGCAAACAGGAUUAGAUACCCUGGUAGUCCACGCCGU